AGUUUGAUCCUGGCUCAGGAUGAACGCUAGCGGUGCGCCUAACACAUGCAAGUCGAGCGAGAAGAUGGAGUAGCUUGCUACAAAGUUGGAAAGCGGCGAACGGGUGAGUAACACGUUGGUAUCUGCCCUCUGGUCAGGGAUAGCCAUCCGAAAGGAUGAUUAAUACCGGAUAGUCUCGAAAGAGUAAAGAUUUAUUGCCAGAGGAGGAACCUGCGGCCUAUCAGCUAGUUGGUGAGGUAGAAGCUCACCAAGGCUAUGACGGGUAGUUGAUCUGAGAGGAUGAUCAGCCACAAUGGAACUGAGACACGGUCCAUACUCCUACGGGAGGCAGCAGUGAGGAAUCUUCCACAAUGGGGGCGACCCUGAUGGAGCGACACCGCGUGAAGGAUGAAGGUCUAACGAUUGUAAACUUCUUUUCUGAGGGAGCAUAAUGAGAGUACUUCAGGAAUAAGGGACGGCUAAAUACGUGCCAGCAGCCGCGGUAAUACGUAUGUCUCGAGCGUUAUCCGGAAUUACUGGGUGUAAAGGGUUUGUAGGUUGUUUGUUAAGUAGGGUAUGAAAGACCGGAGCUCAACUCCGUGUUUGUAUUCUAAACUGGCUAACUAGAGUUAGGGAGAGGUAAGCGGAAUUUUAAGUGUAGGGGUGCAAUCCGUAGAUACUUAGAAGAACACCAAAAGCGAAGGCAGCUUACUGGAACUAUACUGACGCUGAAAAACGAAAGCGUGGGGAGCGAAAAGGAUUAGAUACCCUUGUAGUCCACGCCCUAAACGAUGAUAACUUAGUGUUGGGGGUAACCUCAGUGCUGAAGCUAACGCGUUAAGUUAUCCACCUGAGGAGUACGGUCGCAAGAUUAAAACUCAAAGGAUAGACGG
rnacentral:rRNA from 1 species